rnacentral:rRNA from 1 species
CCCUUAGAUGUUCUGGGCCGCACGCGCGCUACACUGAUGCAUUCAACGAGUCUAAAACCUGGUCUGAUAGGGCUGGGUAAUCUUUUGAAAGUGCAUCGUGAUUGGGAUAGAUGAUUGCAAUUCUUCAUCUUCAACGAGGAAUGCCUAGUAAACGCAAGUCAUCAGCUUGCAUUGAUUACGUCCCUGCCCUUUGUACACACCGCCCGUCGCUCCUACCGAUUGAAUGUGUUGGUGAGGAGCUCGGAUUGGCAGCAGUUGGUGGUUCGCCACCGGCUAUUGCUGAGAAGUCCUCCAAACCGCCCCAUUUAGAGGAAGGAGAAGUCGUAACA